rnacentral:lncRNA from 1 species
GACAAAGGAAAAGUGGGGGUGAACCUUGCACCGAAAAGCGUGUGAUUAUUUCAUUUUCAUUGGUCAUAGACUUCCACUUUCGAUAUUCUUCUUCCACAUUCUUCUUCAGGUUAAAACGGCUUUCCUGAGGUACGUUAUUCUGUUUAAAGAAUACCUGUAACGGAGCUGGAAAACAGCUUAGUGUAUGGGAUGCCCAGUUAUGUGGAGUAAAACUCAUGAUAGUCUGCAAUAUAUCCUUG